rnacentral:rRNA from 1 species
UACGGAGGGUGCGAGCGUUGUCCGGAAUCACUGGGCGUAAAGGGCGCGUAGGUGGCCUGUGGAAGUCUGCGGUGAAAGCCCGGCGCUCAACGCCGGGUCGGCCGUGGAUACUCUCGGGCUUGAGCUUACUAGAGGCAGAUGGAAUUCCGGGUGUAGCGGUGGAAUGCGUAGAGAUCCGGAAGAACACCGGUGGCGAAGGCGGUCUGCUGGGCCGACACUGACGCUGAGGCGCGAAAGCCAGGGGAGCGAACGGG